UGGAAGGGCGCAGGGAGCCAGGGAUUUCCUCCUCCUUCCCCACCCCGCAACCCUCCCUGGGAGAACCGUGUCGGUGCGAGGUGAGGCCAAAGAGCCUUCUGCCCGCAAAGUGGAGCAAUGGGCAAAGGUCCCAGUUCCAUGUGGGAUUCAGCUCCUCGCAUCCAAAAGUUUCAGCUGACUGAAAGCAAAGAUGAAUAGUGAUUCGAGAGGAUGAGACUCCCGAUCGAGGGGAGACGGAGGAUGGAUAAGGGACAUAACAGUCAAACUGACCCCAGAGGGAGGAGGAGGCCUGAGCAGGUCGGCAUUUCCCACCACUGCAGAGCUCCAGCCGGCCCCUGCGGUGAGAGACCAGCUCUACCUGACCGAAGCUGCUCAGGGACCCGGGGACAGCUCCCUGUUACAAAGCCUGCCUCGGCGAGUUUCAAGCCGCUGGGAGAAUCCACGUCCCUCCAGACUCCCUUCCCUGAGCCAUGUCAGUGUCUCCAGCAACUCUGGAAUGCCACCCUCUCUCUGGGUGCUGGCACCCAGGGCCUGGCGUCUGCUCGGUGCACUGUCCCGCUGGGCCACCUCAGCCUGAGGGGACACUGUCCCUUGGAAACCCUGCAGGAAGGCAGGGCCUGCCUCCCACUCUCUGUGGGAGGAUGGAGUCCCAGUUCUCUGGAUUGGCAGUAGGAGGUCACAGUGACACUGAGCCACCUUCGUUAUUCCCCACUGUGUCCCCUCUGUCCCCCUCCCACUGUCCCCUUCAGAGGCCCCGUCACCUCCACACACCUGGGCCCAGAGCUCUGCCCCUCCGCGGGCCACAGUAGUUGCUGAAUGAAACCCGCGAGGCUGAGGGUGGGACCCCUGCCGACACCCCAAGUGUGCUGCCCUGGCUCGCUGGGUGGCCUCGAGCCCUCUCCAGAGCCGGGCUCUCUCCUGACCCUUCCUCGUGACUGCACGCGCCUCCUGCUCUGCUCUUUGCACGUGUUUUCCUUUAAAUGACUCACAGAGAAGCUCCCCAGGUUUCAGCCUCUGUGAAGCUGAGUGCCAACCGACGCUUCAACCAGGAAACAGACCCACAAGACCCGUC